UACAGAGGGUGCGAGCGUUAAUCGGAAUUACUGGGCGUAAAGGGCGCGUAGGCGGCCCGAUAAGUCGGAUGUGAAAGCCCCGGGCUCAACCUGGGAACUGCAUACGAUACUGUCAGGCUAGAGUAUGGUAGAGGUAAGCGGAAUUCCGGGUGUAGCGGUGAAAUGCGUAGAUAUCCGGAGGAACAUCAGUGGCGAAGGCGGCUUACUGGACCAAUACUGACGCUGAGGCGCGAAAGCGUGGGGAGCAAAC
rnacentral:rRNA from 1 species